AACGAACGCUGGCGGCAUGCCUAACACAUGCAAGUCGAACGAGACCUUCGGGUCUAGUGGCGCACGGGUGCGUAACGCGUGGGAACCUGCCCUUAGGUUCGGAAUAACUCCCCGAAAGGGGUGCUAAUACCGGAUAAUGUCUUCGGACCAAAGAUUUAUCGCCUUUGGAUGGGCCCGCGUUGGAUUAGCUAGUUGGUAGGGUAAAAGCCUACCAAGGCGACGAUCAAUAGCUGGUCUGAGAGGAUGAUCAGCCACACUGGGACUGAGACACGGCCCAGACUCCUACGGGAGGCAGCAGUGGGGAAUAGUGGACAAUGGGCGAAAGCCUGAUCCAGCAAUGCCGCGUGAGUGAUGAAGGCCUUAGGGUUGUAAAGCUCUUUUACCCGGGAUGAUAAUGACAGUACCGGGAGAAUAAGCUCCGGCUAACUCCGUG
rnacentral:rRNA from 1 species